CGCGGUGAAUACGUUCCCGGACCUUGUACACACCGCCCGUCAAGCCAUGGAAGCUGGGUGUACCUAAAGUCGGUAACCGCAAGGAGCCGCCUAGGGUAAAACUAGUAACUGGGGCUAAGUCGUAACAAGGUACCC
rnacentral:rRNA from 1 species